rnacentral:lncRNA from 1 species
GAGUGCCAAAUCAUCAAUUUAUACACAAAAUGUCAUUUUAUGGUUCGUGCACCCACCGCCACCAUACAGUCAUACUCCAUGCCAACCAAUCCGAACGUUGCGUCGCCACAUGGUGCACUUUCCUGAAGGAUCACGCAAAAUCUCCCCUCCAUAAACAUUGCCACCACACCCUCCAUUUUGUGCAAAUUUCUCUUCAAAUUCAGCACGACGAGGCGACAAUGCAAGCAAAAGGAACGAAUCGUCCACCAUAUAACUCCGAGAAGAAGGGCCAGCACUAAGCUCGAUUGGGCAUGGCUGAGUAGUAAGGAAGAGAACACUCAAUCACCAAGAGUGUUCUCUCACGAGCUAGGACCAACUGUUAUCAAACUUGAACAGCAACCACACCGAAUCGACAGAAACACUUUCCUGGUGCCACUCACUCUCAAACUAUAUGCACGCUCUCGUCAUAGGAGGAGAUGGCCGUCGUUCUGUUGCUAGCAAGUUGAUUGGAG